CAUAUAUUUUGGAUUAUUUUUUUCUGUUUGGGAUGGGUUUAUAGGUGGAUGGGUUAUGCCUUAAAAAUAUCCUUCAUAAGACAAGCUUAGCCCUUAGAUUAGUGUCAUUAAGAUAGAUGGCUACAGAGGGAGAUACCAGAAUGACUCACAUUCAACUGAAAGAAAGGGUCGCAAGAUUGGUCCUUUGGAUAUUCCACUGAGGGAUAUUAGUAGAAGAUGCCGUGAUAAGGUACCGAAGCAGUGGUUAUUUUGAGAUUAAAACACUAUUCUGCGAAUGCAAUCCCUAUUUCACACCACAUCUUUCAGGAGCGAUUAGUGUUUCAUUUUGUUUGUAUGUAAAAUUGGAAAUUCUCCCUAGCAAUAUCUGAUUGUGACAUUCCAUUCAAUCAAUAUUUGAUGGUGACAUUCAUCAAUUUCAGGUUUAUGAAUUCAUAGGAUUACCCCAACUUUAUUAUGCUGGCAGUCAUGGAAUGGGCAUAAUGGGCUAGGUCACACGCUCUGUGUCUAUUAGUAACCGUCUAAAUUCAAUUAGAUCUACUGACAACAUGGGACUUCUAAUGGAGGUUUGGGUGCAAAUUUCUCUAUUGAUUUAUAGGGUAAGGAGGUUAAUCUAUUCCAACCUACUAGCGAAUUUAUACCCAUGAUCAAUGAGGGUUUUUGUUCCCUCAUUGAAGAGACGAAAGGAAUAGAAGGCACAAAGGUUGAGAACAAUAAGUUUUGCGUCUCUAUACAUUAACGACUUGUAGGUGAGAAUAACUGGACUACUGUUGCACGAUGUGUCCACGACAUCCUAAAAGACUAUCCACGCCUAUGACUAACACAUGGGCAGGAGUGAAAAUUUCUAUUCAAGGAGAAAAUCAAAAUACAAGGAUAAUACAGAUCCAAACACAAGAGUAUGUGUAAAAUUGCAGAGGAAUCCAGUCCUUUAUCUACUGAGAAGAUAACACUAGCCAUUGGUGCACUGUGUAUGGUAAGAAACUCCAUAUUCUGUUGUUUUGUCAUGUUCUACCCUAAAAUAAUGCAUUUUGUGAGAGAGAGAGAGAGAGAG